rnacentral:rRNA from 1 species
CUGAUCCAGCCAUGCCGCGUGAGUGAAGAAGGCCUUCGGGUUGUAAAGCUCUUUCAGUAGUGAAGAUGAUGACGGUAACUACAGAAGAAGCUCCGGCUAACUUCGUGCCAGCAGCCGCGGUAAUACGAAGGGGGCGAGCGUUGUUCGGAAUCACUGGGCUUAAAGCGUACGUAGGCGGAUUUGCAAGUCAGGAGUGAAAUCCCGGGGCUCAACCCCGGAACUGCUUUUGAAACUGCAAGUCUAGAGUCCCGGAGAGGUUGGCGGAAUUCCGAGUGUAGAGGUGAAAUUCGCAGAUAUUCGGAGGAACACCAGUGGCGUAGGCGGCCAACUGGACGGGAACUGACGCUGAGGUACGAAAGCGUGGGGAGCAAACAGGAUUAGAUACCCUGGUAGUCCACGCUGUAAACGAUGUGUGUUAGUUGUCGGGGCUUAGGCCCCGGUGACGGAGCGAAAGCAUUAAACACACCGCCUGGG